rnacentral:snoRNA from 1 species
GGUGAAAAUGAUGAAUUCUGGGGCGCUGAUUCAUGUGACUUGAGAAACGCCAUCCAUUUCCUGAUUCACC